UUUUCAAAUUGGCAAUGUUUAUCUAGAAAAACUAUAAUGAAUAAAAUGUCAACUACUACGGCCGAUUUAUAAGCUAAAUUCAAAGCACAAUUAUCAUCUACUGAAGUUAAAUAUGUUUGUGCUACAGCGGAUUGUUGACUUUAUGUUGUAUAACAGUAUCCAGAGAUUCUUCAGAGAUUAUCAGCUGGGCUUGCUUGUCGUUGCUUAAAAGAGUCUGAAAAUUUAAAUGAAAAUGCGGAGAUGGAAGAGGAAGAAGAAUUAGAGUUAAUUGAAAUAAGUGAUGUUUUAAAUGAACAAAUUACAUUUAAGACUAACUCCAAAAUAUUAUUCUCUUCCACCACAUCAUCGU
rnacentral:lncRNA from 1 species